UCGAACGAACCGUUCGGGUUAGUGGCGGACGGGCUGAGUUAACGCGCUGGCGAAUCUGCCCUCAGGAGGGGGAUAACGGCUGGAAACGGCCGCUAAUACCCCAUAUGCCGAGAGGUGAAAUGAAAUUCGCCCGAGGAUGAGCCCGCGCUCUGAUUAGCUAGUUGGUGGGGUAAGAGCCUACCAAGGCGACGAUCAGUAGCUGGUCUGAGAGGAUGAUCAGCCACACUGGGACUGAGACACGGCCCAGACUCCUACGGGAGGCAGCAGUGGGGAAUUUUCCGCAAUGGGCGAAAGCCUGACGGAGCAACGCCGCGUGAGGGACGAAGGCCUCUGGGCUGUAAACCUCUUUUCUCAAGGAAGAAGAUCUGACGGUACUUGAGGAAUAAGCCACGGCUAAUUCCGUGCC
rnacentral:rRNA from 1 species